rnacentral:rRNA from 1 species
UGGGGAAUUGUUCGCAAUGGGCGCAAGCCUGACGACGCAACGCCGCGUGGAGGAUGAAGACUUUCGGGUCGUAAACUCCUUUCGACCGAGAUGAAUUUCCCACGACCUAACACGUCGUGGGAGUGACAGUAUCGAGGGAAGAAGCCCCGGCUAACUCCGUGCCAGCAGCCGCGGUAAUACGGGGGGGGCAAGCGUUGUUCGGAAUUACUGGGCGUAAAGGGUUUGUAGGUGGCUUGUUAAGUCAGACGUGAAAUCCCUCAGCUUAACUGGGGAACUGCGUCUGAUACUGGCGAGCUUGAGUGCAGGAGAGGAACGCGGAAUUCCAGGUGUAGCGGUGAAAUGCGUAGAUAUCUGGAGGAACACCGGUGGCGAAGGCGGCGUUCUGGACUGCAACUGACACUGAUAAACGAAAGCCAGGGUAGCAAACGGGAUUAGAUACCCCGGUAGUCCUGGCCCUAAACGAUGAAUGCUUGGUGUGGCGGGUAUCGAUCCCUGCCGUGCCGAAGUUAACGCGAUAAGCAUUCCGCCUGGGGAGUACGGUCGCAAGGCUGA